rnacentral:pre_miRNA from 1 species
ACAACAUUCGGACCGUCGGUCUACUGAGUAACUUCACCCACUCGGUAGAAGAUCUUCCCUCUGUCGU